rnacentral:rRNA from 1 species
UACGUAGGCAGCAAGCGUUGUUCGGAGUUACUGGGCGUAAAGAGUGCGUAGGCGGUGUCGAAAGUUUGGCGUGAAAUCUCCCGCUUAACUGGGAGGGUGCGCCGAAAACUGCGGUGCUGGAGUGUGGGAAAGGCAAGCGGAAUUCCUGGUGUAGCGGUGAAAUGCGUAGAUAUCAGGAGGAACACCGGCGGUGUAGACGGCUUGCUAGACCAUAACUGACGUGAGGCACGAAAGCGUGGGGUAGCAAACAGGAUUAGA